rnacentral:rRNA from 1 species
GACGAACGCUGGCGGCGUGCCUAAUACAUGCAAGUCGAACGCUUUUUCUUUCACCGGAGCUUGCUCCACCGAAAGAAAAGGAGUGGCGAACGGGUGAGUAACACGUGGGUAACCUACCCUCAAGCGGGGGAUAACAUUUGGAAACAGAUGCUAAUACCGCAUAACAAUUAGAGAAGCAUUUCUUUAAUUUGAAAGGCGCAACUGCGUCACUUGAGGAUGGACCCGCGGUGCAUUAGCUAGUUGGUGAGGUAACGGCUCACCAAGGCCACGAUGCAUAGCCGACCUGAGAGGGUGAUCGGCCACACUGGGACUGAGACACGGCCCAGACUCCUACGGGAGGCAGCAGUAGGGAAUCUUCGGCAAUGGACGAAAGUCUGACCGAGCAACGCCGCGUGAGUGAAGAAGGUUUUCGGAUCGUAAAACUCUGUUGUUAGAGAAGAACAAGGAUGAGAGUGGAAAGUUCAUCCCUUGACGGUAUCUAACCAGAAAGCCACGGCUAACUACGUGCCAGCAGCCGCGGUAAUACGUAGGUGGCAAGCGUUGUCCGGAUUUAUUGGGCGUAAAGCGAGCGCAGGCGGUUCUUUAAGUCUGAUGUGAAAGCCCCCGGCUCAACCGGGGAGGGUCAUUGGAAACUGGAGGACUUGAGUGCAGAAGAGGAGAGUGGAAUUCCAUGUGUAGCGGUGAAAUGCGUAGAUAUAUGGAGGAACACCAGUGGCGAAGGCGGCUCUCUGGUCUGUAACUGACGCUGAGGCUCGAAAGCGUGGGGAGCAAACAGG